CAAGGAGAAGCCUUUCUGAACAGUCUUGGCAGAAGCAGAGCCGUGUCACCCUCCGUCUCCUGGCCUGGCUUUAUUUUUCUUCACGGCACUCCCUGUCACUUGCAGUUUUACGUAUCAGAUUAUUUGUUUAUUAUCUCCCUCUUCCUAGAAUGUGAGCUCUGUGACUCGGGGAGGGCCUGUCUUGUUCCUUUGCUACAAGCUCAACAAUUUUUUGUGCUAUGAGUGAAUGAAUGAAAGGAGUCAGGUGGUAAAGGGAGAUGUUUACCCUCACAGGGGAAAGUUGGGUACGAAGACAAACUCGUUAUGGGCAAGCUAAAUAGAUCAUUCUAGGUGGAGCUGGGGAAUGACAAGUAAUUAGCAAAGGGAAGGGACCGUGCACAGCCACGCGGUCUAGCACAUAGACUGUAAAGUGAACGGUGGCCCCGCCAGUUGUACAGUUCUCAACCUGUACAACCAUUCAUGGUGCCCCUGGGGAGGGGGAGAAUCCAACAAUUUAGACCCUCUCAGCAGGGCUGGGUGGAGGCAGCUGUACAGGUGCCUGCCGCUGGG
rnacentral:lncRNA from 1 species